GUUCGGGGCGCGGCCGAGCGCCGCCGGCCCGCGCUCGGGACGCGCGCUCGGGACGCGCGCUCGGAACGCGCUCUCGGCCGCUGCCCGCGCAGCGCUCGGGAGUGGAGGAGGGGAGCUGCAGCGAGAACUGAAGGAAUUUGUUCACCUUUGUCCAGGGGGAGUGGAACUUCAACAUUUCUCUUCAAAAUACUCUGUUCAAGACUGUUCACGAGGUGAGGCCUGAUGAGCUUAACAUGAACAGAUUGGGAGUAGCCAGAAGAUACACAGGAGCUAACUGAAAAAUACCCCCUGGUGCAGUUGGAUAUACUUGGUCUGGGAAAAGACGGAUAAAAGAACCAAAGAAUAAGGAACAAGUUGACAACAAAGGCAAAGGUAUCAAUAACCAAUAGGAGAUCAAAUACUAAGAACUGUGUAAUUUAAGACCAAUGAACAAGAAUUUCUUUGCAUUUUGUAUGUAUGAAUAUGUGAAAAGUCUGGUAAAGAACCACAUGUGAUGGAAUGAUUUUCACUGCACAGCCCAUGCAUGUGUGGAUGAUAUAACUUCUGUUGCACAUCCUGGCCAAAAUAAAGUAAUGCAUAAUUCUCCAACAUUGAAAA